rnacentral:lncRNA from 1 species
AAACACCAUAACAUAAACAGAUACAACAAAAUGAAAACACUCCACUUCUCUUCUUCUCUCCUGUUCCUGUCAGUUCUUUUCCUCUCAUGUGCGUUUCUAAUCUCACCACAGUCUCCCUCACCGUCCCCUUCUGAGCUUCCGUCACAGCCACCUUCCUUGCCUCCAUCACAGUCACCUUCUUUGCCUCCGUCUCAGCCACCUUCCUUGCCUCCCUCUAAGCCACCUUCUCUGCCUCCCUCACAGUCAACUUCUGACGCUUGUAAGUCAACUCCAUACCCAAAGCUCUGCCGUACGAUCCUCUCCGCCGUCAAAUCCUCACCGUCCGACCCCUACAGCUACGGCAAGUUCACGAUCAAGCAAUGUCUCAAACAAGCGAGCCGCCUCUCCAAAGUCAUCAACGGUUACGUACGCCGCGUGAGAAACAAGCCAGGCUCCAUGACGGCCGAGGAAAUAGGCGCGGUGGCGGACUGCGGCGAGUUAGCUGAGCUGAGUGUGAGCUAUCUUGAAACCGUCGCGGCUGAGCUCAAAAUGGCUGAUAUGAUGACGGCGGCGCUCGUGGAGCAUGUGAACAGUCUUUUAAGUGGUGUGGUGACGAACCAGCAGACGUGUCUUGACGGACUAGUGGAGGCCAAGAGUGGUUUCGCCGCCGCGAUUGGAUCGCCGAUGGGGAAUCUCACUCGCCUUUACAGUGUGUCGUUGGGGCUUGUGAGCCACGCGCUUAACCGUAACUUGAAGAGGUUUAAAGCUUCUAAAGGGAAGAUUCUUGGUGGUCGUAACUCAACCUAUCGUGAGCCGCUCGAGACUUUGAUUAAGGUAAUCAAACUUUUAUUAUUAUCUAUUCUAUUAAAUUAGAGUCUUACUUUUUAUCUACUUAAAAAUGUUGUCAUUCAAGUUUUGAACCUAUUCACAUUUCAUUAGACAUAAAUAUAACAUCCUUUAAAAUUCAGAUAUACAAUAUACAACAUGUUUGUUUUCGUGUGAAUAUUUUGUUGCAAGGAUUUAGGAAGUUAGGUUUGUUAUUUUUAAUAAGAGAAUACUAAUGGAGACAUUUUUUAUACGUAUAUACAUUUUAAGGAAAGCUAAUAUAAAUAAAAGGUUUGAUAUGCAUGUAUUAAUGUAGUAUAUUCAGAUGUAUGAUAUCGAAAUUUUCCAUAACUACAUAUUAUGCUCCUAUUAUUUAUUUUGGUCUGUUUGUAACAUUUGUGUAUGGUUUUCCAAAUCAUAUAUGAUGCAACUAUACCAGUGCUAAAUAUGAUAUAUGAAAUUCAUUCAAUCGUUCAUAUAGAAAAAAAUGGAAUCCUUAAUAUAUAUUUUUAGAAACUCAUUCGGUUCAAAUUAUCAAUAUUUAGAUAUAUAUAUAUUAUGUAUUCAUGAAAAGUUUUUGAGCAUUUCUAAUUUAUUUAAAACUAAACAAAAUUUUAGUAUGUUGUUACAUUUUUAAAUAAAAAUACAAAAACAAGUGGUUAAUAUAUGAUUAUUAAAAUUUCAAACAAAAUGAAAACACUCCACUUCUCUUCUUCUCUCCUGUUCCUGUCAGUUCUUUUCCUCUCAUGUGCGUUUCUAAUCUCACCACAGUCUCCCUCACCGUCCCCUUCUGAGCUUCCGUCACAGCCACCUUCCUUGCCUCCAUCACAGUCACCUUCUUUGCCUCCGUCUCAGCCACCUUCCUUGCCUCCCUCUAAGCCACCUUCUCUGCCUCCCUCACAGUCAACUUCUGACGCUUGUAAGUCAACUCCAUACCCAAAGCUCUGCCGUACGAUCCUCUCCGCCGUCAAAUCCUCACCGUCCGACCCCUACAGCUACGGCAAGUUCACGAUCAAGCAAUGUCUCAAACAAG